GACGUAGGAGGCGAGCGUUAUCCGGAUUCACUGGGCGUAAAGCGCAAGUAGGCGGUUGUGAAAGUCCGUUGUUAAAGCCCCUGGCUCAACUGGGGGAGGUCAAUGGAGACUUUAUGACUUGAGGGCAACAGAGGCAUGUGGAACUCCUGGUGUAGCGGUGAAAUGCGCAGAUAUCAGGAGGAACACCAAUGGCGAAGGCAGCUCACUGGGACGGUACUGACGCUGAGACGCGAAAGCGUGGGGAGCAAACAGG
rnacentral:rRNA from 1 species